rnacentral:lncRNA from 1 species
UGCUGAGUGGGAGAGAUGAUGACUUCAAUCUGGGUUAGCCUACAGAUGCUUUCCAUCAGUAGAGCGUUUGUUUUACCUCAGGACUUGGACACAUAGGUGAUAGCUAUGUGGCCAACCCUGCAGUGGGUUUGGGUACAGGUGGUUCACCUCAGUGAAGCAGAAGAGAUAAUUGCUGUCCCACAGAAAACUUUAAAUUCUAUUUGCUGUCCCACCUUUUAAAGUCUGCACUGGCUGUUAUCUCCUGUAGCAAUCAAGUGCCUCUCUCUUUUACUAGCCUGACCACGUUAUAUUGCUCCUCAGAGAAGUGGUUUGCUUUUUAUUGUUACAUUGGAAUUUCUUAGCAUACUGACUUCUUUUUCUGUUUUCUUUUUCAUCCUUUAGGGUAGCCUUGAAAUUUUUACAGGGCUUGGACUAGUGCUUGGCCCACCUGUAGGUGGCUUUUUAUAUCAAUCCUUUGGUUACGAGGUCCCUUUCAUUACGCUGGGAUGUGUGGUGUUGGUCUUAGUACCUGUGAACAUGUGCAUGCUACCAAAAUACGAUUCAACCCCUAGCAAGGAGUCCUUUUGGAAGCUCAUUCUUCUGCCAAAAGUCUUACUUCUCUGUCUUACUAUAUUUUCUCUAAGUGCAUGCUUGGGCUUUUUGGAUCCCACAAUGUCUCUGUUUAUUCUAAAAAAGGUAAGUCUUGCUGACAUGCAAGAAAGUCCUGACUUGCAGUGAAUAAGUGGUAAAAAUUAUAGCUUAGUAUCCCAAACAACAUUGUCUUAUCUAACUGAAAUGGUUUAAUUAGCUAUUAACUUAAUUUGAUUUUCACAGUGCUGAUAAAUCAGUUUCCAUUUACGCCAUUUGUUGCCACAGGGUCUCAGUAACUUUGAGUACAUUUGGGGGCUUUUAAAUAUUUGCUUCUUCCUCUUUAAUUGGCUUUCAACUGCAGAGGUCAUUCUCUGAAUGGGCAAUUUUUAUAAACUAGGGACCUUUUCCUCCUUUCUGAAAGCAACUUCUGUAAAGUUGCAACAGUCAUUGGCAGUGGUGUAUCUCUUGAUGGGGACCUAGGUUUUGGGGAGCAUAGCAUCAUAGCCUGUCCUUCUCACAACAAUGCCAAAGUGAAAUUGGUUGCAACUAUGUAGCCUGCUAGCUGGGUUCUU